rnacentral:rRNA from 1 species
ACGGGUGAGUAACGCGUGGGAACCUUCCCUGUGGUACGGAAUAACUUCCGGAAACGGAAGCUAAUACCGUAUAUCUCCUCCGGGAGAAAGAUUUAUCGCCAUAGGAUGGGCCCGCGUUGGAUUAGCUAGUUGGUAGGGUAAUGGCCUACCAAGGCAACGAUCCAUAGCUGGUCUGAGAGGAUGAUCAGCCACACUGGGACUGAGACACGGCCCAGACUCCUACGGGAGGCAGCAGUGGGGAAUAUUGGACAAUGGGCGCAAGCCUGAUCCAGCCAUGCCGCGUGAGUGAAGAAGGCCUUAGGGUUGUAAAGCUCUUUUGGCGGGGACGAUAAUGACGGUACCCGCAGAAUAAGCCCCGGCUAACUUCGUGCCAGCAGCCGCGGUAAUACGAGGGGGCUAGCGUUGUUCGGAAUCACUGGGCGUAAAGCGCACGCAGGCGGAUUGAUUAGUCAGGGGUGAAAUCCCGGGGCUCAACCUCGGAAUUGCCUUUGAUACUGUCAGUCUUGAGUUCGGGAGAGGUUGGCGGAAUUCCUAGU